rnacentral:lncRNA from 1 species
UAGUAUGCGCCACUAAAAUGACAAUAAGGUGUAAGAUCUUUUAAUUAAAACAUGCUUCAAUAUUCAUCAAAUGUCCAUUCUUGGAAUCACUAGCAGUGAAUUUUGUUGAAGAAUGACAAUGUAAGUAGUAAUUUGGAUCUUUAAGUCAAAAGCAUAAGCAUAAAAUAUUUUGGCUAAUUAAGGAUAAAAGGAGUAUUCUUACUUCUUAAAACUUCAAAGUGCAAUGGAGAUUGCAAAUUUCUGAGCCAC